rnacentral:rRNA from 1 species
UAAUACGUAGGGUCCGAGCGUUGUCCGGAGUUACUGGGCGUAAAGCGCGCGCAGGCGGCGCGGUAAGCAUGGCGUGAAAGCCCCCGGCUCAACCGGGGAGGGUCGUCGUGGACUGCCGUGCUUGAGGGCGGUAGGGGCUGGUGGAAUUCCCGGUGUAGUGGUGAAAUGCGUAGAGAUCGGGAGGAACACCCGUGGCGAAGGCGGCCAGCUGGGCCGACCCUGACGCUGAGGCGCGAAGGCGUGGGGAGCGAACGGGAUUAGAUACCCCGGUAGUCCACGCAGUAAACGAUGCAGACUAGGCGUGGGGGGACUUGACCCCCUCCGUGCCGGAGCCAACGCGGUAAGUCUGCCGCCUGGGGAGUACGGCCGCAAGGCUAAAACUUAAAGGAAUUGACGG